GAUGAACGCUAGCUACAGGCUUAACACAUGCAAGUCGAGGGGUAACGAGAGGGAAGCUUGCUUUCCUUGUCGACGACCGGCGCACGGGUGAGUAACGCGUAUCCAACCUGCCCCCAACUAGGGAAUAACCUUGCGAAAGUAAGACUAAUACCCUAUAAUUUCCUCAGAUGCCAUCUGACGAGGAAUAAAGAUUUAUCGGUUGUGGAUGGGGAUGCGUCUGAUUCGCUUGUUGGCGGGGUAACGGCCCACCAAGGCAACGCUCAGGAGGGGUUCUGAGAGGAAGGUCCCCCACAUUGGAACUGAGACACGGUCCAAACUCCUACGGGAGGCAGCAGUGAGGAAUAGUGGUCAAUGGGCGGAAGCCUGAACCAGCCAAGUAGCGUGCAGGAUGACGGCCCUAUGGGUUGUAAACUGCUUUUAUACAGGAAUAAAGUUAGCCACGUGUGGUUAUUUGUAGGUACUGUAUGAAUAAGGACCGGCUAAUUCCGUGCCAGCAGCCGCAGUAA
rnacentral:rRNA from 1 species